rnacentral:rRNA from 1 species
CUACGGGGCGCUGCAGUUAGGAAUAAUCUACAAUGCGCGCAAGCGUGAUAGUUUGAGCCAGAGUGCGUUUCUAUUGAAAUGCUUUUGCUAAAUGUAAAAAGUUUGGCGAAUAAGGACUGGGUAAGACGAGUGCCAGCCGCCGCGGUAAUACUCGCGGUCCAAGUCGCAGCCAUUUUUAUUGGGUCUAAAACAUCCGUAGCUUGCUUAUUAAGUUUCCUGUGAAAUCCGGCUUCUUAAGAGUCGGGCGAGCGGGAAGUAUUGCUGAGCUAGAGACUGGGAGACGUGAGAAGUAUGUUCAAAGUAGUGGUAAAAUACUUUAAUCUUGAGCAGACUCACAAUAGCGAAGGCAUCUCACGAGAACAGUUCUGACAGUAAGGGAUGAAGGCUAGGGGCGCGAAAUGGAUUAGAUACCCUAGUAGUC